AAUGGCUACUGAGACACGGCUGGACCUGGCGGAGGAAAUCCAGAGGAGAAGGUUCAGUUCCUUCACUGAGGGAGGGCUUCUGAGCCUGCCAGGAAAUGGGCUGCAAACAGCGAGUUCCUGCCACCCGGGUGCUGGCACGUGGGAGGCCCUCAGGAAAUGCUGGGUGCCCAGCUCGGCACCCAAAGCUCCAGGAAACGAGCGUAAUGGACGGAUCUAAGUGUAAGCAAAGCACAGGGAAACAGAAAGGAGAGACAUGAUCAGAGCAGACAGCUGAGACUCCAUCAAGGGAACACCUGGGAGGGUAAGAAAUCAAGCGAAGCAGGGAGCCGGGGGGAGAAAACAGGUCACAAACAAGGUCUCCCGUGGCCCUGCUUUCUCCCAGUCUCCCAAGUCUGUAUUCUAAGCAUGCCUGCACACGAGAAACUGAAAACAAGAAAAGGUGGUAAUUUCUUGGUGGUGGGGACACCAGCGUUGCUUCCUAACAAGACGCAGGUCCUUGAAUAACAUCGUUUUGUUAUAAUGUUGAUGAGAAAAAGGAAUCGCGUCCCAGCGGGGGACACCUUCACAUUCUCCUCAUGCCCGUGCCCGGCUAGGUUUUCUCCAGGUCCUCCUGAAGCCCAACCGGCACAUAUGGACAGGUCCCCGUGUGAGCAAGUGUGGGAGAGCGUGGGAUUGGCCCUGCCAUGGGACAGCAUCCGGCCAGGGCUGGUUCCCGCCUUGGCCCUAAGCUGCCGGGAUGGCCUCCGUCCACCCUCAACCCUGAACUGCAAUAAGCAGGGCUUCAGAAGAGCCAAUAAACUGAAAUUCGA
rnacentral:lncRNA from 1 species